AUUUAUAUAGUUUAAUAAAACAUUACAUUUUCAUUGUAAAAUUAGAAAUCUAUUUUCUUAUAAAUA
rnacentral:tRNA from 1 species